GUCCAGAAGAAAGUGAUUCGAAUAGAAGUAGCGAUGUUAAUCGAUUACUCUUAUGUUUUCUUACGUUGCAUAUAUAUUAAAGGAAAAAGAUAAGAUAUAAUUAUAAAUAUUGCAACUAUAAAGUAAUGAGUCUCUUGUUAACGCGUAAACAAACAAACAAACAAAAAAAAGAAAAGAAAGAAGAAAUCAUAUUCUAACCUCCAAAUUCUUUGAUUCAUUUUAAUCUUAAACAAAUCUCAUCUCGUUUUCAAAACACGGAUAUAUAUUUUCUUGCAAACGAGCAAAAAGUUUAUGGUCGUUUCAUCUUCGAAUGAAAUCCCGAUAAGUCGUGAUUCGUGAUUUAACUUCAUUCUUUGGAACUAGACGGGGAAAAAAAGUUGUCAGGACGAGGAGAAGAGUCGCAAAAUGAAUUUAGAAUAAAAGCAAGUUUUGAUGAUGCACCCAAACUAGCGGUGUUUAUUUAAGAAGAUGAAGAAAUGAAGGAAAAAGAAAAAGAGAAAAAAGAAGAAGAAAAAAAAAAGGAAAACGAAAGGAAAACGUUAAAUAGACAUAUUCGAUUCGAAGGAAUACCACAUGAACAGCUUUCCUGUCGACGGUUGCCAUGGCCGUUACAGACGAGAGGACUAUAGAAAUCGCUUCGCACCUGCCUGUUCUGUUAAAAAGAAAAAUCCAUCGGGAACCCCCGUGAGCGUUGAGAUCCGAACCGACAAAGAAAUUCGAGCUUAGAACUCUCCAUUUCCACGUGACUAGAUUUGAAAGUCUAAUAACUAGGAAUGAGAAUGACUCUAUCAUCUUCUUGUAACUUGGAUUUUAAAAAGAUAAAGAAAUAAGAGGUAAUAAAGUCAUAAAAGAUAUCAACUGAAUGAUAUUGGUGUAAAAACUGGUUAAAAAAAAAAGAAAAAAAUUGGGCGAGGGGAGUGGCGUAAAAAAGUUGGUAAUAGGCAAUUUAGAUUUUAUUGAACGAUCAAUUUCUCUCUAGUUCGCGGCUCGCGAAUUCAUGGAGAAUCGUGGCGCCGCCAUGCCUUAGUAAUGGCGGUCGAGGAUGUUGCAUGGAUGAGAGGCCGACAUUGCGGUUGCGGCGAUUCGAGUAUCGAAGUCUCCACGAGCCGUAGUUUGUCUCGGGAAAGGGACCGUAAUUGGACGGAACAAUUAAAAAAAAACGAAAAAGAAAAGAAGAACGAAGAAAUCCAACAACGUUUCGUAUCAGCGUCGGCCAUCUUCGAUAAUUAAUCCUUGCACUUGUAACUUGCCUAAGCGUUUAUUACGAAUCUUAAAUGGUAUUGGGCAUACUGGACAAAUGAUUUGCUAAUUAAGACGAUUCAGAAUUUCGAAGCAAUGAGACAAGGAAUGUAUUAUCUUUCUUUUCCCAUUUUUUUACGAUAAAAUAUUAUAUCUAU